GAUGAAGAACGUAGCGAAAUGCGAUAAGUAAUGCGAAUUGCAGAAUCCGUGAGUCAUCGAAUCUUUGAACGCACAUUGCGCCCUGUGGUAUUCCGCAGGGCAUGCCUGUUCGAGCGUCAUUUCAACCCUCAAGCUCUGCUUGGUGUUGGGCCCUGCCCGCUGCGGCCGGCCCUAAAGACAGUGGCGGUGCCGCCUGGCCCUGAGCGUAGUACAUCUCUCGCUCCAGUGCCCGGUGGUAGCCUGCCAGAACCCCAACUCUCGUGGUUGACCUCGGAUCAGGUAGGUAUACCCGCUGAACUUAAGCAUAUCAAUAAGCGGAGGA
rnacentral:misc_RNA from 1 species